CACAUUUAAUGGUCCAGUCACAGUAUUUUGCGGAUUUCGAUCUGACUCAAUACAUAUGGACUUUAGUUUUAUUGCUGGAUCUUUUGCCGUUAAGUUUGUUGUGAAUUAUAGCCCCGCUCAAUCUAUUAAUCUUCUAAUAGAGUAUGAAAGAGAGUCUGAAAUGUGGUUGCCAAAUAUGGGGAAGAUAGGAAAGACGUAUCUAUCACCCUUAAGGGUCCAGUCACAAUACUUUACGGAUUUCGACCUGAUUCAACUUAUGCGGAAUUUAGUUACAUUAUUGGAUCUCUUACUCUUAGAUUUAUUCUGAAUCAUCACCCCACUCAAUCGAUUAAUUUUCCAAGUCUAUUGUUACAGGACAGAAAGUUUGACCUAUUUUAGUUAACAAUAAAUAACCAACAAUUUCCCACCUAACGUUUGCACUGUCAAUGUAGUAUUUGGGAAUCGAAGCCAAAUAAGUAGCACCACUGAAUCUGAUACUGCUUGUGAAUCAUAAGUGCUAAUCAACUAUUCCAAAAGCAUGUACUGAUAGGAAGGUUGCAUCUAUUGCAUUUAAGAGCUCAACUGUAAAGUUUCACGAGCUUCAACCUGACUCAAUCUAGUUGAACGUUAGGUCUGUUGUUAGGUCUCUUGUCAUUAGAUCUAUUGUAGAUUACAGCUACACUCAACUUAUUAGCCGCACCCAACGCAACUUAUUAAUAUCCUGGGCCUAUUAUCACUGGACAGGAAGUUGGAUCUACUUUAGCCAAUAAUAAAUAGCCAACGGAAUUUAUCCAUCCUAUCAUAAUUUUUUUCGUAAAUAUAAACUAUGAAUUAUAUUGAGUUGGUUCAACUUUUUAAUUUAUUUGAUUUGAGUGAGACAACGACAAUUUGGUUUUAAAAUUUAAAUCCGUCAUUUAUCUAAUUAUCUUUACAGCUUUAGUCAGCAUGCUUCACGCAACUCUCGCAGGUUGUAAAUUCAUCGAAAUAAGUAAUUAACUUAAAUUGUAAAGCCAAAGUACAAUUGACGGAUUCAAAUUGAACAAAUUAAAAAAUUAAAUAGUAAAAUUAAAAUUUUAAAAGAUUGAAAAACUGAUUCAAAAUCGCUCAUGAUUCAGGU
rnacentral:lncRNA from 1 species